rnacentral:rRNA from 1 species
UACAGAGGUCUCAAGCGUUGUUCGGAUUCAUUGGGCGUAAAGGGUGCGUAGGCGGCGCGGUAAGUCGGGUGUGAAAUCUUGGAGCUUAACUCCGAAACUGCAUUCGAUACUGCCGUGCUUGAGGACUGGAGAGGAGACUGGAAUUUACGGUGUAGCGGUGAAAUGCGUAGAUAUCGUAAGGAAGACCAGUGGCGGAAGGCGGGUCUCUGGACAGUUCCUGACGCUGAGGCACGAAGGUCAGGGGAGCAAACGGG